AAUUGCAUAGUUUCCGUACAGUUUUCAAACUCACUGAUUACCAGCGGAAACCAACCCACCCACCCACGUCUCUCCUCUAUUCCCCAUUUUCUGAUCAAACUUCUUCCUCACACAGACUCUGUAACCUCCCACGAUUCCACGGACAACUCUUUUCUUUCUGUUUUCUCUCUCUGCCCUUCGCCGUUUGUGAAGCAGAAACCACAUACAAAGCUCAAAAGCAGCAAAGGGUUAAAAACUGGCGUAUUGUAUCCGACGGGAAGAUCCCUCUGAAACCAAGGCAAUCCAAUCUGGGAUCCUUAAACCAUUGCCAUCCAAGAGCAUUCCCGCGUGCAGAUGACAUGCCUGAAUGAUCAACACCAGCACCCCACCCAACACUAGCAGCCUUUGGUUCUUCCACAGAGGAGGAUUUUUCAGAGACUUUUCCCGCAUAACCCUGCCAGCAUUGUGUUUGUGAAAAUUCCCCAGAGACUAAUCGAUAGUUUGAAUGUGUAAGUCGAGUGAAUUAAGGUUGUUGUAAUCUAUUUGUGUGUUUAAUCAGUAAUCCAGUGAAUUAAGGUUGCUGUAAAGAGACCAUCCACAAAUUAGUACGAACCAGAGAGAGACAGAGAUACCGAGAGCACUACGACUGCGAGGCCGCCGCCACCGCCGGAGCGAUCACUCCAAUUACAAUACCCGAGACAUCACCUUAUCCCAGGUAGGCAUUCGGCCGGCAACCAAACGCCAUCGUUUUGCUGUGAAAUUUGUUACCUGUCUCUGUCCACCCACCAAGAUCAAUCUCCAUCUCUCUCCUUCCACUUCCUUCCCACCUCUCUCAGGAAGGAAGGAAGCGAGGAAGGAAGAGAUGAGACGCACCGCAUCGGCGGAGGAGUUAUCAGCAUCCAUUUCGGGGCAGAGCUUGGCGUAGAGUUACUAUCAACCAUUUCGGGUAUGCCUGGACUUGCUACUUUCACUCAACCAUUCGCUAAUAUGCAUAUGAAACACCUUGCCAUCCAGACUUUCAUUCUUUCUGCAAUGCAAAUAAUGUCCACUGCCCAUCUUCUGAUACUAUAGUAUAAUAUGUUCCAUAAAAUGCUAAAUGUAGCGUAAUUGCUACUGGGAAAGUAGAUAUAAUCCCAUUUUCCUGUGUCAAUUUGGUGACUUUAGUCUCUUCAUAUCUGUGUUUCUGUCAUGACUCGAUCAUCUUGAUAACAAUUCAUCUAUUGAUUUUUUGAAACUGCUAUGAGCAGUUACGUUUGGGUUAUAUCUUUCGCCAUGACACAAAAAUUGACUCAUCUCAGUCUAUCGGAUAUUCAGUUUUUUUUCUUUCUUAUUUUUACCCCUUCUCUUUUGUGUUCUUGGCGUUUGAUUUCAUAUUAUUGGGAAUUAAUUGUCUUUUGUGGUAAAGUCAAGGUUUCUCAACUGGAAUUCGACAAAAGCUUUGCCGUGGAGAAGUAAUAUAGACUUUUAUGGUUUAAUAUAGACUUUUAUUGUAUUGCAUAAUUUCAGUUUACUAUCUACAAUUAGAUUUAUUGAGAUUACUCACAAUGGUUCAUCUUCUAAUGAUUUUUAUAUCAGUAAACACUGUGCCUUCAAACAUCCGUACUUUUGAUACAAUAGCCUUCUUUUUUUAAACUGUAAUUUUGCACUUUAGUCAAACAUUGUAUUUGUGGAAAAUACUACUAAAAGUAUUGAAAUUCACAGCAAAGCCCAGACUUGCAGUAAUAUGCCAUAUUAGCAUAUAGCUGCGUAAAUUGUAUCUCACUUCAUCAUCGUCUCUCUACACAUCUUUCACGAACCACCAUUUCAGAAUAAAUAGAACUUUAAUCUCCUCAAUCUGGAGUUUUAAAUAAUCCUUGGAGUUUGAUUUUAUAUUAUUGGGAAUUAAUUGUCUUUGUUAAUCCAUUUUUUUGUCUACUUUCCCCUCUAUCUUGAGUUUUGAUUUUGACAUAUAUGCAAACCUAUUGAACAUAAAUACUCCUCACUCUGACUCUGCAAUUCAAUUACAAAUAAUGCUAAUGUUUGAUUUUAACCAAAAACAUUAAAUUUUCAACAGGACGGCAAUAUGAGUUUAUGAUAUGUUUUGUUGUCAAGUGUAUCAAGGUCAAUUGAAGUUCUUGGAUAGUUUUUAUACUUUUUAUUUACCUUUUAGUUGCAACUAAAUUAUAAUGAUAUUCUCUGUUAUUUAAAACUUUUUUUUUUGUACAAAUUCUAGAUAAAUACUUUAAAUUA